rnacentral:rRNA from 1 species
UCCCACACACUGUUGAGGAGGAGGAGGAAGAUGGGGUCCCCAGAACCCCACCCCCCUUCCUCUCAAUCAUUCUGACCUGAGAUCAGGCGGGAUUACCCGCUGAAUUUAAGCAUAUUAGUAAGCGGAGGAAAAGAAACCAACGAGGAUUCCCUCAGUAACGGCGAGUGAACAGGGAGGAGCCCAUACCGAAUCCCCUGUGUCUGCGAGGGCCAGAGGGACCUGUGGUGUCAGGGACAGCACCUGGGGUGGCCGGCCAGCGUCUGAGUUCUCCUGAUCGGGACCUUCACCAGAGUGGGUGUUAGGCCUCUAGGAUGCAGGCUGCCAUCCCUUGUGUUGCCCCCGGAGUCGGGUUGUUUGGGAAUGCAGCCCAAAGUGGUGGUAAACUCCAUCUAAGGCUAAAUACUGACACGAGACCGAUAGCGAACAAGUACCGUGAGGGAAAGUUGAAAAGGACUUUGAAGAGAGAGUUCAAUAGUACGUGAAACCGCUCAGAGGCAAACGGAUGGGACCACAAAGUCGACCCGUGGAGUUCAGCUGACACGGGGGGAGCCUGGCCCUAGGCAACUUUCCUGCCUCGUCGUGGGACUGCGCAGCUGGGGCCAGAGUCUCCCUUCGAUCGGUGCACUCUCUGCGGGGAGAGCGCCACGACCGGUUGCCCUCGGAUGCUUGAAGCCUCCCUGGAAGGUGGCUGUCUCUUGGGACCUCCCCCUUGCUGGGGUGUGUCUUGGGGGGCAAGUUUUAUAAACAGGGAAGGUGUUGGCCAUCUGGGUGACUGAGGAACUGAUGCCGCGCCGGCCUCCCCUCUUGCUUGGGGGAGGGCUUGGGUGCCCCUUCCGCUCGGUGAGUCUGACUUGGGUGGACUAGUAAAUAGUGUGCCCAGACCACUCUGCCGUCCGUGUGUGGGGAUCUCUCCCGUACCGGUGCCCAGGGUCAGUGGCGAAUCGGUUGGCCCCCCAUCCGACCCGUCUUGAAACACGGACCAAGGAGUCUAACAUGUGCGCAAGUCACUGGGUGCUACGAAACCCAAAGGCAGAGUGAAAGCAAAGGCCCCCCCUGGGGGCCUAGGUGGGAUCCCUGGUCUGCUGGCUGGGGCGCACCACCGGCCCGUCUGGACACUUCCCAUGCUGAAGUCAGGCGGAGCUAGAGCGUACACGUUGGGACCCGAAAGAUGGUGA